rnacentral:rRNA from 1 species
UACGAAGGGGGCGAGCGUUGUUCGGAAUUACUGGGUGUAAAGCGCGUGUAGGCGGCAGACCAAGUCGGCGGUGAAAGCGCCCGGCUCAACUGGGCGAGGUCCGUGGAAACUGGUCAGCUGGAGGACGGUAGAGGCGAGUGGAAUUCCCGGUGUAGUGGUGAAAUGCGUAGAGAUCGGGAGGAACACCUGUGGCGAAGGCGGCUCGCUGGGCCGGUCCUGACGCUGAGACGCGAAGGCGUGGGGAGCGAACGGG